AUUGAACGCUGGCGGCAGGCCUAACACAUGCAAGUCGAACGGUAACAGAAAGCAGCUUGCUGCUUUGCUGACGAGUGGCGGACGGGUGAGUAAUGUCUGGGAAACUGCCUGAUGGAGGGGGAUAACUACUGGAAACGGUAGCUAAUACCGCAUAACGUCGCAAGACCAAAGAGGGGGACCUUCGGGCCUCUUGCCAUCGGAUGUGCCCAGAUGGGAUUAGCUUGUUGGUGGGGUAACGGCUCACCAAGGCGACGAUCUCUAGCUGGUCUGAGAGGAUGACCAGCCACACUGGAACUGAGACACGGUCCAGACUCCUACGGGAGGCAGCAGUGGGGAAUAUUGCACAAUGGGCGCAAGCCUGAUGCAGCCAUGCCGCGUGUAUGAAGAAGGCCUUCGGGUUGUAAAGUACUUUCAGCGGGGAGGAAGGGAGUAAAGUUAAUACCUUUGCUCAUUGACGUUACCCGCAGAAGAAGCACCGGCUAACUCCGUGCCAGCAGCCGCGGUAAUACG
rnacentral:rRNA from 1 species